UACGAAGGGGGCUAGCGUUGCUCGGAAUCACUGGGCGUAAAGCGCACGUAGGCGGAUUGCUAAGUCAGGGGUGAAAUCCUCGGAGCUCAACUCCAGAACUGCCUUUGAUACUGGCGAUCUAGAGUCCGGAAGAGGUGAGUGGAACUCCUAGUGUAGAGGUGGAAUUCGUAGAUAUUAGGAAGGAACACCAGUGGCCGAAGGCGGCUCACUGGUCCGGUAC
rnacentral:rRNA from 1 species